UUCAACUCUUACCGUAUUCUAGGCACUUCAACAAGUCUAUUACAUAAAUUAUACAGCAGUGGCUGAGACUGUGGAUUUUGAGCUUCCCUGCCCGGGUUUGAGACUGCCCUCCACCAGCGAAAUGUACUAAUGCACAUACAAUGCUUACAGCCCUGCCUGCUCCAUAACAAACACUCAAAAAAGGGGCUAGGUGGACGUUACUGUGCACAGGGGGAAGAGGUGUUCCUGAAACGUCCCAAGCUACCUUCUCGUGUUCCUGUUGUAUCAGAGAAACCAUCAGCUGAAGAGAGGCACCACCACUGCCAUGCUGAAAAGAGCGCUGGGAUACUGUUUGUUCCCGACCUAACUUGGGUUCGUAUGGAGAGGGAAGCACAAAGUCCCAUACAGGUGCUGGGGAUCCAUCCAGGCCCAUCUGGGGGCAAAGGAAGCCAGGCACACUGGGCCCCCUCACAUGGCUCCCUGGGCUGUGGUCCCUAGAGAGUGGCCUCCGGGCUGGACCUGGGCUGAAGCUCCAUCUGUCCAGGCAGACCCAGGGACAUCCGCGAGAGCGGUCGUAGGCUACUUCUGGUCAGAGUUGGUGGUCCCUGAAGCCUGAGCAAAGAGCCUUAGAUGUCUCAGGGAGACAAGUGGUCCCAGCUACAAGGACCUUGCAGACCGUGGGGGAGCAAUGGUGGCUGACCCCAGGAGAAGGAGGUGACAUUGGGUCUGAAGUUCCUGAAAGGACCAAGAGCAAAAGGAUUGUGGGUCACUGGGAACUGAGGGGCCACAGUGCCUGAAGAGAGUCUCACUGAUCUGGUUUUCCCAGUGGCGGGGCAGGGAGAGAAGUAAAGCAAAAGACCGUGCUGAAGGCCGGGGAGCUGCUGCUAACAGGGGCUAGAAGCACAUGGAGGAGCACGUGCGGCCUCCAGCACGGACACCCAAGGAGACUAUGCUCUCAUCAUGACCCUGCGGCCAAGGUGCUUCCAGGGGCUUCUGCCGGGGAUUUGCAACAAGGACCACUGACACACAGGAGUCCAUUCCUCCCAGUCACCCCACUGUACAUCCAGGCCCUGGGGACACAGCG
rnacentral:lncRNA from 1 species